rnacentral:rRNA from 1 species
UGGAUCCAGACUUUGAUCCUGGCUCAGGAUGAACGCUAGCGGCAGGCUUAACACAUGCAAGUCGAGGGGCAGCGAGGGUAGCAAUACCUGUCGGCGACCGGCGGAAGGGUGCGUAACGCGUGAGCAACUUUCCCGUAUCAGGGGGAUAACCGAUGGAAACGUCGACUAAUACCCCAUAACACAGAGGGCGGCAUCGUCUUUUGUUGAAAGUUACGGUGGAUACAGAUAGGCUCGCGUGACAUUAGCUAGUUGGAGUGGUAACGGCACACCAAGGCGACGAUGUCUAGGGGUUCUGAGGGGAAGGUCCCCCACACUGGAACUGAGACACGGUCCUGACUCCUACGGGAGGCAGCAGUGAGGAAUAUUGGUCAAUGGGCGGAAGCCUGAACCAGCCAUGCCGCGUGAAGGAAUAAGGCCCUAUGGGUCGUAAACUUCUUUUGAUGUAGAGCAAUAAGGUCUACGUGUAGACCGAUGAGAGUACGCAUCGAAUAAGCAUCGGCUAACUCCGUGCCAGCAGCCGCGGUAAUACGGAGGAUGCAAGCGUUAUCCGGAUUUAUUGGGUUUAAAGGGUGCGUAGGCUGUUUAUCAAGUCAGGGGUGAAAACCUGCAGCUCAACUGUAGAAUUGCCUCUGAUACUGAUAGGCUUGAAUACUGUUGCCGUGGGAGGAAUGAGUAGUGUAGCGGUGAAAUGCAUAGAUAUUACUCAGAACACCGAUUGCGAAGGCAUCUCACGAAGCAGGGAUUGACGCUGAGGCACGAAAGCGCGGGGAUCAAACAGGCUUAGAUACCCCGGUAGUCCACGCAGUAAACGAUGAUAACUAACCGUUGGCGAUACACAGUCAGUGGCCAAGCGAAAGCGAUAAGUUAUCCACCUGGGGGGUACGACCGCAAGGUUGCAACUCAAAGGAAUUGACGGA